GGCCGAGAGAGGCCACCGGCCCUUUGUUGAUCUGCGAGAAAUCAAACUACGAACACGACAAGCAUUAGCCUGCAGCUCGAGGAGACAAGGAAUAAAUCCAACUUGAUCAUAACAUCCAACUGUGUUGCCCAGGCUAGUCUCAAACUCCUGGAUUCAAGAGCCCCUCUCCUCUCAGCCUACGAAAGUGCUGGGAUUAAAGUUUCCCCCAAGGUCACAGAAUUAUCCAGGCCAACCAAUAACACCUCCUGUGGGAACCAGGAGCAUCUCACCCUCUUGAUACUACAAAGCCUUCCCCGACACCUCCUGUUUGUUCUCUCUGCUCCCAGUCCUGAACUGACAGCCACAAGUGGCACCUGAACAGGGACUUGAACAAAGAAGGUCUGCUGGAGCAGAAAAAGUGAAACUGACCAGAUGAAUGAGAAACCCUGGGAUGAGUCUGCCUGCAGAGGAUAUAAGGAGAUGGAUAAACCGUGUGAGUGCCCUCAAGUUGUGUGCGACCAUGGAAUGGGAGACUGGAGGGAUACAUGGAUCCCAACUACAGGCCCAGCUCCUCCAGUAUGAGCCAUGAGCCAGUUGAAUCUGAAUGUGAAGAUGGAAUGAAGACCGACGAGAGUCACACUGACGUCAACCCUCAUAACAUGGGGUCAGAUCAAGAAAACCACACCAGAAGCUGAGAAACUGGUGUAGUGCCAGGGUCAGGCAAAAACCCCUGACUCCAUGUUUAUGGCCAUGCUAGCUGUAAUAUCCUGUGCAGUAUGAUUUUUCUGUGCAGAAGCAAAAACAUAUUGGGCAUAUUUUCCUAACCCACCGGUAGUGUGAUCAUACUCUGAAGCAGCACUCCUCCUGAGAUAUAUCAUGAUCAAGGAGCAUCAGUACCAGGACCUCUAACUCCCCCUGACACAGAGCAAUUAGACUCUCAUAACAAUGGUAUCAAUUAUACCACUCCAUUGGAGGGACUUCCUUUAUGUGUCACCCAGGAUACAUUGCUCAACUGCAGUUGCCUUGCAGUUUGAUCCCAAGCAUGGUUGAGUUACCAU
rnacentral:lncRNA from 1 species